CGGAGCAUUUUAUUCAUAUCACUUUCAUACUCACCAAACCAUUCAGUGAGCCCUGGUGCACGGAAGUAUCUGAUUUUAUUCAGGUUGUUCCUUUAAAUUUGUCCCCCGUCUGUAUAUGUACUCGCUCAGCUAAGUGGUACAAGCCUUUUCCUUACAAUAGGAACCUGCUUUGUCUGAGGGGUACAGCAACUCCACUCAGCAUCCGUUUCACAUCAACACAAGAUGAUAAAAGUGCUCAAAGGUGAUAGUGUGAUACUACCCCUUCUUGUCAUGGCCCCAUAGUAGCAGCUAAUGAUCAUCUGGUCUGUCACAUCUGUCUCGAAGCUGUUGGCUGGCUGAAACUAUAUGGCAUCCCUGUUAACUAGAAAUAAUGCUGGAAAUACUUCCGGGGGUAAAUGUAUAAUGUUCCACUUUAGAAACUUUCCUUUCUUGGUCUGCUGUGUCUCAGGAGAUUGAGCGGGUCGCCCACUAAUCUCUGGGUUGGCAGUUCAAUCACCGGCUCCUUCUGUCCACAUGGCGAAGUGUCCUUGGGCAAAACACUGAACCCUAAGUUGCUCCCGAUGCAUGACAGCUCUGUCGCCAUCGUUGUGUGAACGGGUGAAUGAGAGGCCAAUUGUAAAGCACUUUGUUAAGGUAGAAAAGCGAUAUAUAAGUGCAGUCCAUUUACCAUUUUGUGAUGAAACACUUGUCAACAGUCCAGAAAUUGACGUUUGAACCAGGAAAUAAAGACAAAAUAUUAAAAUUCAAGGAAUAGCAAAUCCAAAUUUCAGCACAUUCUGGAUGGGAGAUUGGGGAAGCCUAUAAGUCUUGUUUGAGUGCUUCAGCUGUGAUGUUAGAACAAGGUUUGCGAUGCAUAAUCUCUGUUGUCAUAUUUUCCCAUCAUCUCUCAUAUUUGUGAUGUGCUUGUUCUCUCUCUAACUGUCACAGAUCCUGUAUCCCCGAGCCCAAAGAAGACCGUACAAAGUAAGUGCAACACAAAUAUUACUCACAUAUUCUUGAAAUAACUAUCAAGGCCCAUAUUUAAGAAACUGGUAUAAGUGAAAAUGCAACCUCGUCUCGCCGUAAAUGUAAGAGGUUUUAGGUGGGCGGAGGAGAGAGAGAGUGGGGGAGAGGGAGUCCCCCUCCCUCUGCAGCAUUCUUGGCAGCAGUACCCACAUGCUCUUUGUGGCAUGUCAAGGGCUGGAUUAUUUGUUAUUUGCUAUAGAGAAUUAAAAUUGUCUUUGUCCUGUUGUGACAGAAGUGUCACUGCAUUCACAUGCACUUAAGAAACAGGGUAACUGCUUUCUGCAGACACCAGGGCUCAUUUAUCAAAUUGCUUAAAGUGGACAUUUAGACUUAAGUGAAAGAUAAAACUAAAAAUGAUUCACUUUUACAAACACAUAUACACAUGUAACAAAACCAAUGUAUCAUAUUUCCCUUGUAUGAAGCCCUGGUCAUGCUCACAUGGACUGAUAAAUCUUUUAGACCAUAUUUGAUAAUAAGGUACUGUCUAUCUGUAUUUCUUUUCUGUCUGCUUCAAGAAGUGGCUUGUAAACAAAUACUUGGGGGAGACAGUUGCAGGCCAGAAAGGGAAAGACUGGACGGUAUGUUACAAAAUAAUGGACAUUAACAAAUUGUCAUAGUUAGAGGUUUUGUCCUGUUUCCUGUUUUAUUUUGUAGCGUGCUCCUCUCCUCGUGUGUCUUGUCGUUUUACUUCCUGUCUUUGUUUGCUUUCCCUCCAGUUUUGAGUGUUGGCCGGGCCCCACCUUGAUUGUUUGCACCUGUGUCUCGUUGUCUCCUUUAUCUCAGUGUAUUUAGUCUGUUAUUUCCUUUAUUCAUUGUCGGGUUGUUGCCUUUGUAAUGUGCAUUUUGGUUGUGCUUUGUUUCCGUGUCACGCAUCCUGGAUUUUGUUCCCUGUAAGUUUUGUCGGACUGACUCCUUGUUUUCUUGGAACAUGUCUGUAUUGUGGAUUUUUGUAUUGGGCCUGCUCCCUGUCGGAUGCGUUUGCCUUUGGACUUCUCUGUUUUGACCGCUGUCUGCCAUGCUACACAAGCCAGCUGCCCGUCCUGUUCUGCCUGCCACGCUACUCCAGCCAAGCCGGAACCUACACUCCUCGUCUCCGUCCCCGGGGCCUUGUCGCUCUGGAAGAGCUCAGAUCCCCCACUGUUUGCUUGCAGUUUAUAAUAAAAACGGUUGUUACCUCAUCCACAUACCACUUCCUUGUGUUCUGCAUUUAGGUUAUAAAAUCGUGCACAAAACCCAAAAAACUCACUUAAAGAGUGAGAGGGCAUUAACUGAUGCCUGACCUCUCUCUCUCUCUCUCUCUCUCUCUCUCUCUCUCUACCGCUUGACGCCCCUCCUGAACUCGCCGUGUUUUCGUCGUCAAAGUCCUGGUCGGAGCUGCUGUAAAUCACUUUAAUGCUGUAUUCCAUGUCGGCCCUGAGAACCUUCUCCUCUCAGCGGCAGAGCAGCUGGAGGACAUCAGAGGAAAAAACAGAAAAUAACUUAAUCCUAAAAUAUGAUUUGAUGUUGCAAAUGCAGCUGCUGUGAUGCAAGAAACAUUUCAGACUCGAUCUGACAAAGUAUCAUCAUCCAGUUUCACCAAGAUCAGUGAAUAAAGUUAUAAAAGUUAAAUCAAACAUUCAAUCUCAGCAUUUUCAUUUUAAUAUGGUCAGAGAAUGCCCAUACAAGUAUAUGAAAAUUGGAUUAUUGCAUUUUCAUUUUUACUCAAAUAACAUAAGUGUAAAAUUAUGAUAUUGUGGAAUUACAUUUUCAAGUUUACAUUAUCAUUUGAAUAUAGUCCCAUACAGUCCAGUCCUGUAUGUGAAUAUAUUUUAUGUAGACCUACUGUAAGGUCAUGUUUCAAAUUUGCUGCAUCUCUUCUGUGGUUAUAUUUGAGUCAGAUGAUUAUUGCUUUAUGUCUUGAUUUUGAAAACCUGCAAUACAAUGACCUUCGAGUGAGGGAGGAGCAAACCCACAUUAUAUAAAAAUUUUGGCUGCAUCAUUGCAUCUUGAGCUUUUUUUCUGUUCAGCAGAAUUGAUAUAGUUUUAAAAGUACUAGACAAAACUAAUCUGCUAUGAUUUAAUAAGUAAGUCAAAGGAUCAUCAACAAUGUUUGAUUGACAGGUGAUCUCUAGGAGGUGCAAUACAAAAACAACACAGGGAUAGACCAUGUAGGCAAAGAUGUCACUGAAACUAAAAGCUAUGCAUCCUGACAAUAAAAACUUAAAAAUAGAACAACAGGAUUGUCACUGCAUAUUUAUUAUGCUGCUAGCUACAGUAGCUAGGAAGCUCAAUGACUCAUAAUGGGUAAGUGUCAAAAAACUUAAAUAAACUUGAAUAAAUUCAUAAUUUUUCAUUGCUUAAUUCAUUCAUCCAUUGUUAUGCCGCUUAUUCGGGUCCAUGUUGUAUUCAUUUAUUUUUUUAAUUAUAUCAUUGAGAAUUAUUCAUAUAUACUGUUGGGAAGUACUAAAAAAUGUGAUAUAAUAACAAAUCAUUUUAGGCUGUAUCGUCCCUACUGGUUUUCCAUCAUACUUUCAUACUUUGGCCUCUUUGAUCGUGUGGGGUAUUAAAAAGGUAUUACAUUUUUUAAAUUUAACUGGAUGACCUAGCAGAAACCCUGUAAAAGCAGCUGCAGUUUACUUGUAUUUAUUACAAUAUGCUACAAAAAAACCUUUGAAAAUUCUGUAUUUUCCAAAAAAAUACAGGUAGACAUUCACCAUUUAUUAAAUAUACUGAUUUCAAACUGAAUCAUAUUGAUGUCAUGGAUUUGCACUUACUCAAAGGGAAUAUGAGGACAUUAAACUGAUAUGAUUUUCUUUUCUGUAUCCAUAUAAAGAGCAUUGUAGAAUAUUCUUACAAUAUGUUUGAAUAUGCAAUUCCAUAAUCACAUUUUUUUUUUCAUUUUCUUGCAUUUCUUCCUGCUCUAUUACCACCUCACUAGAACUCUCUAUUGUCCUAACCUGUCAACUUGUGGAACUUGUUUCAACUAUUCCCAUAGGUGGAAUGCACCAGCAACAUGUCUCACAGGACAAAAGAAGGGAGUAUGCCAUAGUACUGAGCCAAGACAAUGACAGAUCAGAAAUCCUGUGUUUAGUGAUUUGGUUUUGUUCAUCACUAAGGCGUCACAACAUUUCUGAAAAAUGUAUCACAUACACGUCAUGUCAUUAGCCUUUGUUCUGUUCCGAUAUAUAAAGGCCUUAAUAGAUGUAGACUGUCACAUGAGAACUGGAAAGAAUUAAAAGACACUGAAAUAGUUUUAAACAAACAGAUAGAAAAGGGGGAAUUUAUAACUUCAUCCUUUCAUUUUGGAUUCAAAGGCAAACAAGAUGGGUGUUGGACGAAACAUAUCAAUUUUCCUGAUUCUAAUAGUUGCUAUGGAUGUGGCAACGAGACGAGCAGCUGCACAAGCUGCUACAAAUGCUCCAACAACGACAACAGCAACAACUACACCUGCUCCAACAACAACAACUGUGGUAACAACUACACCUGCUCCAACAACUACAACUGCCUCAACAACAACCCAUGCUCAGACAACGACAACUGCGGCAACAACUACACCUGCUCCAACAACAACGACAACUGCCACAACAACAAUACCUGAUCCAAAAACAUCGACAGCGACAACAACAACACCUGCUCCAACAACAACGACUGCGGCAACAACUACACCUGCUCCGACAACAACGACAACUGCCUCAACAACUACACCUGCUCCAACAACAACGACUGCUUCAACAACAACAACUGCUCCGACAACGACAACUGCGGCAACAACUACACCUGCUCCAACAACAACG